UACGUAGGGCGCAAGCGUUGUCCGGAAUUAUUGGGCGUAAAGAGCUCGUAGGCGGUUUGUCGCGUCUGCUGUGAAAACCUAAGGCUCAACCUUGGGCUUGCAGUGGGUACGGGCAGACUAGAGUGCGGUAGGGGUGACUGGAAUUCCUGGUGUAGCGGUGGAAUGCGCAGAUAUCAGGAGGAACACCGAUGGCGAAGGCAGGUCUCUGGGCCACUACUGACGCUGAGAAGCGAAAGCAUGGGGAGCGAACAAG
rnacentral:rRNA from 1 species